AUUGAACGCUGGCGGCAUGCUCUACACAUGCAAGUCGAACGGCAGCGGGGAGGAGCUUGCUUCUCUGCCGGCGAGUGGCGAACGGGUGAGUAAUACAUCGGAACGUGUCGAGAAGAGGGGGAUAACCACCCGAAAGGGUGGCUAAUACCGCAUAAAUUCUGAGGAAGAAAGCUGGGGACCUAGGAAUAGGCCUAGCGCUUUUUGAGCGGCCGAUGUCGGAUUAGCUAGUUGGUGAGGUAAAGGCUCACCAAGGCGAAGAUCUGUAGCGGGUCUGAGAGGAUGAUCCGCCACACUGGGACUGAGACACGGCCCAGACUCCUACGGGAGGCAGCAGUGGGGAAUUUUGGACAAUGGGGGCAACCCUGAUCCAGCCAUGCCGCGUGUAUGAAGAAGGCCUUAGGGUUGUAAAGUACUUUUGUUAGGGAAGAAAAGUCAGCUGUGAAUAAUGGCUGAUACUGACGGUACCUAAAGAAUAAGCACCGGCUAACUACGUG
rnacentral:rRNA from 1 species